CGAACGGCGAGAUAUAUGCGUUUAAUGUGGUAAAUAUAAGAGAAAUAUGUCAAAGUCAUUUAUAUGUGCCAAUCUUCCUGCUGCCAGCUGGUGGCGCUAUGAUUAUAACUGAAUAUUGGCCUUUAGAUAUCUUCAGGCCAUGACUCUUUCCAAAUAUUUGAAUUUUGGUGCAGAUUGGACAUUGCAUGUUUAAGUUAGUGUAAAACAAGCCAUUUCCUGUUGCCAGCAGGUGGCGCUAUGAUUAUAGUGGAAUAUUGACCUUCAGAUGUGUUCAGGCCAAGACUCUUUUCGAACAUGUGAAGUUUGGGGAAGAUCGGACAUCUUAUGCCUGAGUUACAACAUCUUCUAUUCCCAUGGCGAGACAUCGAACUUUGUCACGGCGCCAUGGCCACACCUUUUAAUGAAACCUCAAGAUGUUCACAAUUUAACAUCGCAAAGGCCUUUAGAUUAGACUGACCAAAAAAAAUUAUAAAGUGUCAUAAAAUUUCUAGGAGUAGUUC
ensembl:lncRNA